GCCGGUGUAGCUCAGGGGUAGAGUGUUUCCUUGGUAAGGAAGAGGUCAUGGGUUCAAAUCCCAUCAUUGGCUCAA
rnacentral:tRNA from 4 species